rnacentral:rRNA from 1 species
GACGAACGCUGGCGGCGUGCCUAAUACAUGCAAGUCGAGCGAAGUUUUUCUGGUGCUUGCACUAGAAAAACUUAGCGGCGAACGGGUGAGUAACACGUAAAGAACCUGCCUCAUAGACUGGGACAACUAUUGGAAACGAUAGCUAAUACCGGAUAACAGUAUUUCUCGCAUGAGAGAUAUUUAAAAGUUGGUUAUGCUAACACUAUGAGAUGGCUUUGCGGUGCAUUAGCUAGUUGGUGGGGUAAAGGCCUACCAAGGCGACGAUGCAUAGCCGACCUGAGAGGGUGAUCGGCCACACUGGGACUGAGACACGGCCCAGACUCCUACGGGAGGCAGCAGUAGGGAAUCUUCCGCAAUGGGCGAAAGCCUGACGGAGCAACGCCGCGUGAGUGAAGAAGGAUUUCGGUUCGUAAAGCUCUGUUGUUAGGGAAGAAUGGAUAUGUAGUAACUAUA